UGCUGCCUGGUUUGACUAGGGACAGAGACUUUGGCCAGAGUGCACUCACUUGCUGCGCUGCCUCGCUCUUGGUGACUGAUGCCCACUCCUGUACCUCCACCCCAGCUGGCCAUGGCAGUGGCUGCAUCUGUCACCCUCCAUGAGCAUCUACAUGUUGGUUGGCUGAUGCACAGGCUUGUCUCACUGAACCUGAGAAGUCCCAACAGUCAUGCCCAGGGCAUCUCAGCGGCCAGUGCAACACCUUGUGCCAGAAUCAUCAGGGUGGGCUAACAAGCUCCACCAGGCUGUACAUCUUUACUGAAUUAUAUACUUUACACUAACAAUAAAAUAAUGAAAUAACUGCAGUAAGCCUACCUUACAAACAUUUAUAAAAGUGCUGCCCAACUAAAACAUUAGCUGUAGGAAGUGUUACCAGGUGAUAAUCAU